rnacentral:tRNA from 1 species
GCCUGGAUGGCUCAGUCAGUUAAGCGUCUGACUUUGGCUCAGGUCAUGAUCUUGCGGUUCGUGGGUUCGAGCCCCAUGCUGGGCU